UUUUCAGAGUUCAAAAAUCUGGAAUUUUCCAGCCACAUGCCCACUUUGUCUAGGCAUAGUUUGCACACACAUGUCACCAAGAUGUGAUUGACACCACUAUGGUGUUGAGUACAAACCCCUACUACUAACACACAAAGAUCCAUGCCCUUGGGCUCCAUCUAUACCAUGGAAACAAAGCCCAAACUUUCAACAAAGUGCAAAUGCAAUUCCAUAAGGUAUGCUUCUAAGAUGACAAUUACAUAGGUGAGUUUUAUGUGCACAAUGACAAAGUGACAUGGGGGUUUGAACCCCAUGUUUGUGUCAUGCACAUCAACAACACCCACACCCAUAUCACAAUAUUCCUAGUAUCAAGCACAUCACAAUGGGACUCUAUGCUAACAAGAGAGUAUGCACCCCCCACAUAUGGGCAUGUGAUGGCACACACUCUCACAUGCAUUACUAGGAUCUUCCUAGGAAUCAUGUCAUUCUCAAAAUGC
rnacentral:lncRNA from 1 species